rnacentral:rRNA from 3 species
UAACACUAACUGGAGGACCGAACCGACUAAUGUUGAAAAAUUAGCGGAUGACCUGUGGCUGGGGGUGAAAGGCCAAUCAAACCGGGAGAUAGCUGGUUCUCCCCGAAAGCUAUUUAGGUAGCGCCUCGUGAAUUCAUCUCCGGGGGUAGAGCACUGUUUCGGCUAGGGGGCCAUCCCGGCUUACCAACCCGAUGCAAACUGCGAAUACCGGAGAAUGUUAUCACGGGAGACACACGGCGGGUGCUAACGUCCGUCGUGAAGAGGGAAACAACCCAGACCGCCAGCUAAGGUCCCAAAGUCAUGGUUAAGUGGGAAACGAUGUGGGAAGGCCCAGACAGCCAGGAUGUUGGCUUAGAAGCAGCCAUCAUUUAAAGAAAGCGUAAUAGCUCACUGGUCGAGUCGGCCUGCGCGGAAGAUGUAACGGGGCUAAACCAUGCACCGAAGCUGCGGCAGCGACACUGUGUGUUGUUGGGUAGGGGAGCGUUCUGUAAGCCUGUGAAGGUGUGUCGUGAGGCAUGCUGGAGGUAUCAGAAGUGCGAAUGCUGACAUAAGUAACGAUAAAGCGGGUGAAAAGCCCGCUCGCCGGAAGACCAAGGGUUCCUGUCCAACGUUAAUCGGGGCAGGGUGAGUCGACCCCUAAGGCGAGGCCGAAAGGCGUAGUCGAUGGGAAACGGGUUAAUAUUCCCGUACUUGGUGUUACUGCGAAGGGGGGACGGAGAAGGCUAUGUUGGCCGGGCGACGGUUGUCCCGGUUUAAGCGUGUAGGUGUGUGUUCCAGGUAAAUCCGGUUCACUUUAACACUGAGGCGUGACGACGAGGCACUACGGUGCUGAAGCAACAAAUGCCCUGCUUCCAGGAAAAGCCUCUAAGCAUCAGGUAACAUCAAAUCGUACCCCAAACCGACACAGGUGGUCAGGUAGAGAAUACCAAGGCGCUUGAGAGAACUCGGGUGAAGGAACUAGGCAAAAUGGUGCCGUAACUUCGGGAGAAGGCACGCUGACACGUAGGUGAAGUGAUUUACUCAUGGAGCUGAAGUCAGUCGAAGAUACCAGCUGGCUGCAACUGUUUAUUAAAAACACAGCACUGUGCAAACACGAAAGUGGACGUAUACGGUGUGACGCCUGCCCGGUGCCGGAAGGUUAAUUGAUGGGGUCAGCGCAAGCGAAGCUCCUGAUCGAAGCCCCGGUAAACGGCGGCCGUAACUAUAACGGUCCUAAGGUAGCGAAAUUCCUUGUCGGGUAAGUUCCGACCUGCACGAAUGGCGUAAUGAUGGCCAGGCUGUCUCCACCCGAGACUCAGUGAAAUUGAACUCGCUGUGAAGAUGCAGUGUACCCGCGGCAAGACGGAAAGACCCCGUGAACCUUUACUAUAGCUUGACACUGAACAUUGAGCCUUGAUGUGUAGGAUAGGUGGGAGGCUUUGAAGUGUGGACGCCAGUCUGCAUGGAGCCGACCUUGAAAUACCACCCUUUAAUGUUUGAUGUUCUAACGUGGACCCGUUACCCGGGUUGCGGACAGUGUCUGGUGGGUAGUUUGACUGGGGCGGUCUCCUCCUAAAGAGUAACGGAGGAGCACGAAGGUUGGCUAAUCCUGGUCGGACAUCAGGAGGUUAGUGCAAUGGCAUAAGCCAGCUUGACUGCGAGCGUGACGGCGCGAGCAGGUGCGAAAGCAGGUCAUAGUGAUCCGGUGGUUCUGAAUGGAAGGGCCAUCGCUCAACGGAUAAAAGGUACUCCGGGGAUAACAGGCUGAUACCGCCCAAGAGUUCAUAUCGACGGCGGUGUUUGGCACCUCGAUGUCGGCUCAUCACAUCCUGGGGCUGAAGUAGGUCCCAAGGGUAUGGCUGUUCGCCAUUUAAAGUGGUACGCGAGCUGGGUUUAGAACGUCGUGAGACAGUUCGGUCCCUAUCUGCCGUGGGCGCUGGAGAACUGAGGGGGGCUGCUCCUAGUACGAGAGGACCGGAGUGGACGCAUCACUGGUGUUCGGGUUGUCAUGCCAAUGGCACUGCCCGGUAGCUAAAUGCGGAAGAGAUAAGUGCUGAAAGCAUCUAAGCACGAAACUUGCCCCGA